ensembl:rRNA 5S_rRNA 5S ribosomal RNA
CUGUCUUGCCAUACCACCCUGAACACACCCAGUCUCAUCUGAUCUUGGAAGCUAAGCAGGAUCAGACCUGGUUGAUACUUGGAUGGGCGACUCUUGCUUUUUUAUGGUUCUGAACAUC